GUGGGGGGGUGGAGGGUGAGAAAACCUGGAUUUGUGCUGGAAAUGGCCCAACCUGAUGAUCACUUUAGAUAAGCUAUUACCAGCAGGACAGUGGGGUGGGAGGAGGUAUUGUUUCAUAUUCUCUGUGUAUAUAUAAUAUCUGCUGCAGUUUCCACGGUAUGCAUCCGAUGAAGUGAGCUGCAGCUCACGAAAGCUCAUGCUCAAAUAAAUGGGUUAGUCUCUAA